AUUGAACGCUGGCGGCAGGCCUAACACAUGCAAGUCGAGCGGAUGAAGCGAGCUUGCUCCUGGAUUCAGCGGCGGACGGGUGAGUAAUGCCUAGGAAUCUGCCUGGUAGUGGGGGAUAACGUCCGGAAACGGGCGCUAAUACCGCAUACGUCCUGAGGGAGAAAGUGGGGGAUCUUCGGACCUCACGCUAUCAGAUGAUCCUAGGUCGGAUUAGCUAGUGGGUGGGGUAAAGGCCUACCAAGGCGACGAUCCGUAACUGGUCUGAGAGGAUGAUCAGUCACACUGGAACUGAGACACGGUCAAGACUCCUACGGGAGGCAGCAGUGGGGAAUAUUGGACAAUGGGCGAAAGCCUGAUCCAGCCAUGCCGCGUGUGUGAAGAAGGUCUUCGGAUUGUAAAGCACUUUAAGUUGGGAGGAAGGGCAGUAAGUUAAUACCUUGCUGUUUUGACGUUACCAACAGAAUAAGCACCGGCUAACUUCGUG
rnacentral:rRNA from 1 species